CACGCUGUAAACGAUGAGCACUGGGUGUAGCGGGUACUCAUUCCUGCUGUGCCGCAGCUAACGCGUUAAGUGCUCCGCCUGGGGAUUACGGUCGCAAGACUAAAACUCAAAGGAAUUGACGGGGGCCCGCACAAGCGGUGGAGUAUGUGGUUUAAUUCGACGCAACGCGAAGAACCUUACCUGGGCUUGACAUCCCCGGCCAACCCUGGAAACAGGGCCUUCCCCUUCGGGGGAUCGGGUGACAGGUGC
rnacentral:rRNA from 1 species